AGUGAACGCUGGCGGCGUGCUUAACACGUGCAAGUCGAACGAGAACGGGUUAUAGCCUGCUAUAAUUGUCAGCUAAGUGGCGCACGGGUGAGUAAUGUAUAGGUAAUAUGCCUCUUACUAAGGGAUAACAAAUGGAAACGUUUGCUAAUACCUUAUACUCCUUAUUAACAGAAGUUAAUAAGGGAAAGAUUUAUUGGUAAGAGAUUAGCCUGUAUUGUAUCAGUUAGUUGGUGGGGUAAUGGCUUACCAAGACUAUGACACAUAACUGGUUUGAGAGGAUGAUCAGUCACACUGGAACUGAGACACGGUCCAGACUCCUACGGGAGGCAGCAGUGGGGAAUAUUGCACAAUGGACGAAAGUCUGAUGCAGCAACGCCGCGUGGAGGAUGACACAUUUCGGUGCGUAAACUCCUUUUAUAUGAGAAGAUAAUGACGGUAUUAUAUGAAUAAGCACCGGCUAACUCCGUGCCAGCAGCCGCAGUAAAAC
rnacentral:rRNA from 1 species